rnacentral:rRNA from 1 species
GAUGAACGCUAGCGGCAGGCUUAACACAUGCAAGUCGAGGGGUAUAGUUCUUCGGAACUAGAGACCGGCGCACGGGUGCGUAACGCGUAUGCAAUCUACCUUUUGCAGAGGGAUAGCCCAGAGAAAUUUGGAUUAAUACCUCAUAGUAUGUGAGAAUGGCAUCAUUUUCACAUUAAAGUCACAACGGCAAAAGAUGAGCAUGCGUCCCAUUAGCUAGUUGGUAAGGUAACGGCUUACCAAAGCAACGAUGGGUAGGGGUCCUGAGAGGGAGAUCCCCCACACUGGUACUGAGACACGGACCAGACUCCUACGGGAGGCAGCAGUGAGGAAUAUUGGACAAUGGGCGCAAGCCUGAUCCAGCCAUGCCGCGUGCAGGAUGACGGUCCUAUGGAUUGUAAACUGCUUUUGUACAGGAAGAAACACUGGUUCGUGAACCAGCUUGACGGUACUGUAAGAAUAAGGAUCGGCUAACUCCGUGCCAGCCGCCGCCGUAACAC